rnacentral:misc_RNA from 1 species
AAGGAGUCUAACAUAUAUGCGAGUAUUUGGGUGGCAAACCCUUAUGCGAAAUGAAAGUGAGUACGAGUGGGAUCCCCCAGGGGCGCACCAUUCACCGCUCUUUAUAUCUCUUGAUAGAUUCGCGUUAGAGCAUAUAUGUUGGGACCCGAAAGAUGGUGAACUAUGCCUGGAUAGGAUGAAGCCAGAGGAAACUCUGGUGGAGGACCGUAGCGGUUCUGACGUGCAAAUCGAUCGUCAAAUCUGGGUAUAGGGGCGAAAGACUAAUCGAACCAUCUAGUAGCUGGUUCCCUC